GGCACAGAACAGUCCUGUAACUUACUCAAUGUCACACAUCCGGUUAAUGACAGACACAGGAUUUGAAUUCUGACAGCUUAGACUCAGAAACCAGACUCCUAAAUUCUACAGCAUACUAUUUCCCAGAGAGCAAAAUUCCAAAGAACUAUUAUUCAUUCCGAAAAAGAUAAAUGUUUAGAUGUUGGUUCACAACAUGAAGCAUUUUCUGUAACAUACUCAGUUCAGUUAACAGCAUUAACGAUUCUAUUUUGAGAAAUCCCAGCUCACAUUAAUUAGAUUUGGUUUUUCGAUACUCUUUGCUGAAUGUCUCCAGCCUGGGGUCACACCAUGAUUAUUGUAUAGAGCAGUAAUGAACGUCAGACCACCUGGAAGGACCAGCAUGCAAAGAAAGUCUCAGGACUUGCCUGGAAGAAGUAUUCCCACAUCAUCUGGGACUGGGUGGUCCCAGAGAGCAACUAUCCUGCUGUGCUUCUACCUGGGGCCAACUCUCCACUGAGAUCAGGAAGCUAUACAAUCAGUCACUAUAUCUUCAGCUGAUUGAAUUUUUCUUAAAAAAAAUUAAAAAAUGCUCUGACACAACAAAAAGUCCAGAUGAAGGGGUUCAACACUAUCAUUAAAGAUCCAGGUUCUAAAAAAAAAAAAAAAAAAAAAAAAAAAAAAAAAAAAAAGAUCCAGGUUCUUUCUCUUCCAUCACCCUGUCAUCCAUAAUGAAUUGGCUUUGUCUUGUCAUAAGAUAGGAAUUAUAGCCAAUCUGAUGAUGUCCAGAGAAAGAGGAAAUCAUCUUUUCUAGAAGAUCUUUUUCUUAUGUUUUAUUACUAGGUCACGGGUCUACUCUACACCAAUCGCUAGCAAGGGGAAAAGAGCUGCUAUGAUUGGCUGACAGAAGCCCUGUAACCGGGGACAGGAUCUCUCUCUUUAGUCAGUUGGAGGAAGGGUGGACACUCAAACUCCAUGACUCAUCAGCAAAGAAAAGGGAAAAGGAUCAUGAUGGGCCACCAACAGUGUGCACUACAGAAAGACUGAUUCCUAAUUUUGAGACUACUCACCCGUUACUUCAAAAUCUUAUUCCAGAUAAGGCCAUGAGAAGAGUGGAAAAAGCACAGAGAGAGUUUGGGAUUUCCAAAACUCAAGUCCAGGCCCACCUUUGUCUACGUGUGUGCCCUUAACUGACACUCCAUUAAUUUCCCUUUGUCCAUCAGUAAAAUGGGAGUAAUGAAAAUCUAUGUCAGGUUUGCCACGAAGCUCAAAUGAGCUAUUAUUUAUAAAAGCACUUCAUCAUUUAGGAAUACUGUACUUUCAGUUAGAAGUAACAGAAAGAUUGAAAUUGCAACACUUAAGAAGAGUUCAUUCAACAUAAGACAUCGGCAGGUGUAGGUAGGUGUAGGUAGGUAGGUAGGCAGGUGUAGAUCGGCAGGUAGGUAGGCAGGUGUAGCAGCUUCAUGGCAUCAGUGUCUCAGGAGCCUUUUAUCUUUCCAUUCUAGCUUCCUUAGGGAGGCCACUAAUUGCUUCUUGGUCACAACAUGGCAGCUGGAUCUCUAGAUAACAUUCCACAGGCAGGAAGACGUAUGCACCAACCUUGUCUAUUCCCUUCUGAGAACUCUCUCAGUGGACCUUCACUUAUAAUCUCCAGAACUGGGUGACAGGGCUAUGUCUGUCUGCAAGAGAGGCUGGAAAAGUAUUUGGUUUUUCCAGUAGGGGAAGAGGAGGGCCAGGCAGAGACGGAGUUUAGAUAAGACGACAGUAUCUUAAAUGCCACAAGCAUUUUAUAAAGUGAAAACUCUGGGCAAAUGUUCUAGUUGAAGGUUUCCAGAAUGUCAGUCAGUCAUUAAAUACAUCAUGGGUGAGGAACAGUAGAA
rnacentral:lncRNA from 1 species